GGAAAACAAGCCUUGGAGAGGAAGAGCAGUUGGGCAGGUGGCCUUAGAAGCAGAGACAGACGUCCCUGUUGAUACCACUGUUGAUGGAGAAGCACUCGGCUCUCCUCCAUCAGGGGAAACCAAACCUGCCACCCCACCUGGGAUGUGGCCUCCCCAGGGAAAGAGUAGAGAGGCUGGAGCUCUGGCAGAACAGGCCUGGCAAGGGGGCUGGAGGCCAAGGCUGGUGUUGGGGCUCAGAUCAAAGCCAUCAUGCUGCAUGGAGCCCAAUCAGCUGCCAACACUCUUGGUGACACAGAGCCCUCACGCCUCUGGUGGAAGAAGCCAGGGCUGGAUGAAGCUGUGGCGUGCAGCUUCUGCACAGUCUCCGUGGAAUCUCUCCUACUCUCCCGUGAGCCUUUGGAGGCCUUGCAGGAGCUCAGCCUUUCAGCAGAAGGACUGGGUUCAACCGCCCCUGCAGGAGCAGCUCCUUGGCCUCCCAGGCACCAGUGGUUGGGGGCUGCAUCCUCUGUGAGCCUCAGGUCAAGCCCAUACAGUGCCCUAGACUCCUCCCUGCUCUGACCCUGGGCCCAGGAGAAAGGCCGAGCACCUGGCCCUCUGGAGACAAGGACAUGGCCAUUCCUCAGAGGUCCUUCCCCUGACAAGCUGGGCCCCCUGUUGUGGGGCGCACCACUGGACAUGGUAGGGGAGUGGUGGCGGCCUUGCCCGAAGGCAGGCUGCGGGAGGGGCGGGGCUGGCUCACCACAGUUGGUUGAUUCAAGUGAGGCCUGGGGUCCUGCUCUCCUUCCAGCUUCCAUCUCAGGAUGGCUCUCAGCCCCCCACAUUGAAGACCAAGAAGGUGAGGGGCAAACCAAGGGCCCUGCCUAUGGAAGCUUCCUGUGAUGGGCUGCAGGUAGCAGGGGCUGGAGAGGGCUGUGGUUGGGGCCACACCAGGCUCCCCCAACCUGAGCAUCCUGGAAGGUGACAGCUCACCCUUGGCAGUGGCAACCCCCAGGCCAGCAGCCCCAUCUGAGGACAGUUGUCUUCAGUGCCAUUGGCUGUGGCAGCACAGAUGGGGGGUGUGAAGACCUGAGGCCCUGCGACUGUAGCACCUACAGCCACUGGAGCCAGCUCUGCACAACUCAGACCUGGGUGGCGAGGACAUAGCUUUGCAGGUGGGCAGCCACAUCCCAGGGGGAGCCUGCAGGCCAGUGGCAGGGUGGGGGCAGGCAGAGCAGGGUCUCCCCACUGUUGCCGCUGGGCUCCUGCGGCUUGUGGAGAAAGAUGGGUGGGCCCACACAUAUUGCUGCUCCCUGGAUCUGAGCCUCGGUUUCCCUACCUGUGAAACGGGUACCCAUGGCAGCUCAGAAGUGUCUGGCAGUGGGGCUGCUGGGGCACAGUCAUGGGGGACCCGAGUCCUGCUCUCCAUGUGCUCGCUUCCCUCAGUGGUCCCUGAUGCCAGCAGAACUUUCUCCCAAAAAGAGAAGGGCGUUCCUGUGAGUUCUUGUGUGGGGGGUGGGUCACAGAGCCUCUCCAAGUGCAGGGCAGGGUGAAGGGAGGCUGAGGGGUGGUUGAAUGGCCCUGGGAAGAGCUCUCUUGGGCUCCUCGUGUCUGGGUGGCCUGGGGAGCAUGCUUUUGGGCAGGCGGCUGGCAGGGCUGGUGGCUGAGCCACUGUGGCUCAGGAUCCCCAGCCCAGGCCUGAAUAGGGUAGGCAGGGAGAGGGGAGGGUGAGUGCAUGGUGCAGGACAGUGUGUCUCCUGGACAGAAACAGCCCUGGUCACUCACGGCCAUGGCAUAGCCAUGGCUACAGGAAAGUGCUGCUGUGUGUUGCAGCCCCUGGGGCCGGCUCCCAAUGGACACCCAGCAGCAUCUCCCCCACUGUGCUGAGGGGAGUUGUGCCAGUGGGGUGCUGGCAGCAGUCCUGGGAACUGGGGGAAGAGCCUUGGCAAGCCCAUCCCUCCUCGGGCAUCAGGGAUGGGCUCACGUGACCAAUUUCUCCCAUGGAAGAUGUUUGGGGUGUGCCCAGAAAAUGGGGAGGGCCCUGUGGGGCAGGAUUGUAUUAUUAAAUCCAGAAAGUCUGGGGUUCCAUUUUUAGCACAAGGCAGGCAGCCCACGUGCCCCAGCCCAGUGGCCAGCCUGUGUGGGAGAGGGGAGUGGGGGCCAGAGGGAGUGAGGCUUCUGUUACUGCAGCCAGCCAGGGUGGCCAGUGUGGACUGGACAGCGGGCACUGCACCAGGGGCACUGGUACUGACCUUGGGCCAUGCACCUGAUGCCUGUGAGAGUGAUCUCUAGGAACCACUGCACAAGGGGGCAGAUGAGGGAACCCUGACAUGGGACAGCUGAGGGUUACGCCAACACGGGGGGGAAAGCUGUGUCCAGGCUCCACCGGACUCCGCCGAGGACAGAGCACUGCCCUGACUCUAGGGUGCGGGGUCACUGAGGGUUAGGACAGUCUGGAGUUGGGAGAGGGCCAUGCUGCAGCUGGGGCACAUCCCACCUGCACCUCUCUAGAUCUUGGAGAUGGGACCCCCACCCACAUGCUCCCCAGGUGGGUCCCAUCCUGGGGGGUGCAGGAGGGAGCUCCAUGUGCCCCUGCUGAUCUGCCCAUCUGAGCCUCAGGGGUCCUGGGCACUGAGAGCUGGGCUGGGCUCAGCGGGGGUAUGCAUUGACAUUGGGGACAGAGAGGGGAUGCUGAAGCGGGUGCUGUCUGGGUGGGGCCUGCCUGAUCGACCCAGCAGGUGCACCCAGCAGCCGGAGGUGCUUCUAGCAGAGUGAACGCCCUGUCCUUAGGGGCAUGUGAGCUGAGGCUGGGGGCCUGGAGCUGCAGGGGGAGGAAUUGGGGAGAGCAGAGGUCCCAAAGAUGUCCCAAGGCCCCAAGACCCUGGUGAAGGAAUGGAGGAGCCAGCAUUGGUCGGCGAGAGGGGAGUGGGAGUUGGAUGGCCUGGCUCUGGGCUGGACACACGGUUUGCAGCCACAGCUGAGCUGUGCUGUGGAGCCCAGUUCCCACCUGGGCAUGUCCUGUCCUCUGAGGCUUCCGGGAGCCGGACGGCCACCGCGGUGCAGGCGCGCACUCAAGGGCUUUCGAGGCUCACUCUGUCGGAGAGGUCAGAGACUGAGUGUCGCUGCUGAAGGCUGUGGUGGACCGGGCUGGAUCGCGGAUUCUAGGUUAGAUCGCAGAUUUGGGAUCGCGGAUUGGGGAUUGGAUUGGGGAUUUGGGGUUGGAUCAGGGAUGUGGGGGCUGGAUAGGGGAUUUGAGGAUUGGAUCGGGGAUUUGGGGUUGGAUCCUGGAUUUGGGGCCGGGUCGGCGGUGGGGGGCAGUGAAAAGGUGACAGAGAGCAGCCCCUGCUCAGGAGCCGGUGGUUGGGGGUCUGAGAAGUCACCACCACCAAGAAGUUCUUCGGCUUCGGGAGCCGCGGGGGCGAGAUGGCCCGGGCUCCAUAGACCACGUCUGCACGGUUCCGGGUACCGAAUCCGGGACGCGGAACAGCGGAAAAUCCAAGGGCGGCUGUCAAGGACCGGAGGUGGAGCGCGGCCUGGAGCGCAGGAGCCGGAGACCUGGAGGCCCGGGACAAGCAGCACAGAACUGCUCUACAUUUGGCCUGUGCCAGCGGCCAUGUGGAAGUGGUCACUCUCCUGGUGAACAGACAAUGCCAAAUUGACAUCUGUGACAAAGAAAAGAGUGUGCCUUUGAUACAGGCACAGGCUGUGCAUUGCCAAGAAGAGGCUUGUGCCAUUAUUCUGCUGGAACGUGGCGCCAAUCCAAACCUUAAGGAUGUCUACAGCAACACUGCUCUCCAGUAUGCUGUGUAUAGUGAGAGCACAUCACUGGCAAAAAAACUGCUUUCCCAUGAUGCAAAUACUGAAGCACUGGACAAGGAGGACUCUGAGGAAACCAGAUUGGCAGUGAAUAUGUGGUGACAAAGUGAGAAACACUUUAGCAGAAGGCGGAACAAAUUAACUUGUGGGAAGUCGGGGUCCCCAAACGGAGGGACCGGCUGAAGCUGUGGCAGAAGAAUAUAAAUUGUGAAGAUUUCAUGGACAUUUAUUAGUUCCCAAAAUUAACACUUUUAUAAUUUAAUACGCCUGUCUUUACUGCAGUCUCUGAACAUAAAUUGUGAGGAUUUCAUGGCCAUUUAUCACUUCCCCAAUCAAUACUCUUAUAAUUUCCUAUGCCUAUCUUUAAUCUCUUAAUCCCAUCAUCUUCGUCAGCUGAGGAUAUAUGUCACCUCAGGACCCUGUGAUGAUUGUGUUAACUGUACAAAUUGUAAAACAUGCGUGUUUGAACAAUAUGAAAUCAGGACACCCUGAAAAAGAACAGAGUAACAGUGAUUUUCAGGGAACAAGGAAAGAUAACCAUAAGGUCUGACUGCCUGUGGGGAUGGGCAAAAUAGAGUCAUAUUUUUCUUCUCACAGAGAGCUUAUAGAUGGACGUGUGAGUAGGAGAAAUAUUGCUGAAUUCUUUUCCCAGCAAGGAAUAUUAAUAAUUGAUAAUCCUGGGGAAGGAAUGCAUUCCCAGGGGUAGGCCUGUAGACGACCACUCUGGGAUUGUCUGUCUUAUGCAGUUGAGAUAAGGGAUGAAAUACACCCUGUUCUCCUGCAGUGUCCUCAGGCUUACUAGGAUUGGGAAAUUCCAGCCUGGUGAACUCUAGUCAGACCGGUUGUCUGCUCUCCAACCCAGUUUCCUUUUAAGAUGUUUAUCAAGACAAUACAUGCCCAGAGGGACAUGGACCCUCAUCAGUAAUUCUAAUUUCACCCUUGCCUUGUGAUCCUGCUCUGCCCUUUUGCCUUGUGAUCUUUUAUUGCCCUUUGAAGCAUGUGAUCUCUGUGACCCACUCCCUAUUCGUACACCCCUCCGCUUUUGAAAUCCCUAAUAAAAACUUGCUGGUUUUGCAGCUCG
rnacentral:lncRNA from 1 species